GAUGAUGGAUUUGAGUUUAUGAGAUGAUCUAGAUGAUUAAUGAUGGAUGAGAUUGAAGCUUGAGGUUGAGAAGUGAAAAAUGAAAAAUGUUAGUUUGAGGAAGAAGAUGAUAUAUAUGUGUUUCUAUAUGUGAUUUUGUUAUAUGAUGUUGAUUUGAAGAUUUGAGUGGGUAUAUGAGUUCUUGAGCAUGCUAUGAUGUUAAGUGAUGGUUUAGAUUGAUGAUUAGAAGUGAUGAAAUGAGUUUUGGGAUGAGUUGUUGUUGAGAAUUAUGAUGUUAUAUUCAAGUUAGAGAUAUUAUUAAGAUAUAUAAGUUUUAAAUACAAAUUGGAGAAUUUCGUAGGACUACUGACCUACUGUGAUCGAUGGUUUGUCGAUGUCUAAUAGCUUUAAAAAUUUAAUAACAAGUUUCUACAUGAGUCUUGAGUACCCUGGUAAAAUUUCAAGCUAUUUCAAUUUCGUUUGAUAUUUCUUUAAAAUGCAAAACCUAAACUGCACAUUAUUACCGAGAAUUUCAGAGAACAGGGGAACGAUUCAUUCAUUUCAGUAGCUUCCUAUGUGAUCUAGCUUUCCAACUUUUUAUGGUAUCAACCUUAUUGUGUUAUAUAGAUAUCCACCAAAGUUUAGCCCAGUUUGACAACGUUUACUAUUUUUCAAAAAUUGUAACCUUCGGUUGCACAAAACUGCCAGAAAUGGUAGAUCGUGGUAAAAACGUCAUAUCUCUCAAACCACUUGGAGUUUUCGCCUCUACUUUUUUUUAUAUGAAACUAGACUCGAAGAUCUUUCUUUUGGUAUGAGUCUCGAGUCCAGGAGAUGUCAGAGUCAGAACAGAUUAAAUUUUAAAGUUGAACCAGUGUAAAAACAGAGCAUGUUUUAAUGAUGUUUGAUUGUGAUUCUUAUGUGCCUUAUGUGAUUGUGUUGCCUAUGUGUUUGAAUGAGAUUAGACGAGCCUUAUAUGAGAGAUAAAUCGAGACUUAGAACCAUGAUUUUCUUGAAACCUAUCCUUGAACUUAAGGAUUUGAGAUGAGUGGAGAGUUUAUAUAGAGCAUGAGUUAAGGCUUUAUGAGUAUGAGAUAGAGCAUGAGUUAAGGCUUGAGAAUUAAUCAAUGAGUUUCUAAUUGAGAUUCAUUUUAUGACAUGAACCUUCGAUGAUGAUGAUGAUCCUUGAAGACACGAGCAGAGCAAGGAAGUAAGUAACUCCGCUUUGACGGGAGAUUUUGAGUAAGGUCUUCAGGUGGCAAUUAUUUUGAGUAUUNGCUCAAUUCGCCAACUCCACAAUCUCCAAUUGGCUUCUUCAUCAAUUCUUGCUUCCAAAUUUCUUCAACUAAGAUCAUCAAGCUCUCCUUGAACUUCUUGGCUCUAGCUCUUGUAACCGGACCAACAGGAACAUGCACCGGGUCUUGCACAAAUGAACCUUGGGCUGCAUCAUUCCCUUCCUCUUGAAGAGGAUUUGUCCUCAAAUCCAAAUCGUCACCUACAUCAAAAUGACUCAAAUCAGUUACAUUAAAAGAAGCACUCACAUUAUACUCACCUCGGUAAGUCCAACUUGUAGGCAUUAUCAUUGAUGCGCUCCAACACUUGGAAUGGUCCAUCCCCCCUACGGAAGUAACUUGGAUCGACGCUGCAAUGGAAACCUUUCCUUGUGCAUGUGCAGCCAUACCCAAUCACCGGGCUCAAACACUACUUUGCGACGUCCUUGGUUGGCUCGCUCGGCAUACUGCUUCGUGCGCCUUUCAAUAUUCAUCCUUGCCUUCUCAUGAAUCUGCUUCACAAAAUCAGCCUUUUUCUUGCCAUCAAGGUUAGUAUACUUAUGCUCAGGUAAGGCACAUAAAUCCAAUUGAGUCAAAGGAUUAAAUCUAUACACAAUCUCAAAUGGCGAAAAUUGAGUAGCAGAAUGAACAGAACGAUUAUAAGACAAACUCAACAUGAGGCAAACAAUCUUCCCAAGACUUAAUGUUCUUCUUGAUAAUAGCUCUAAGCAAAGUAGACAAAGUCCUAUUCACUACCUCUGUUUGACCAUCAGUUUGUGGAUGACAAGUAGUAGAAAACAAAAGUUUAGUACCCAACUUACACCACAAAGUACUUCCAAAAAUAGCUCAAGAACUUCGAAUCCCUAUCAGAAACAAUAGUCCUAGGCAUGCCAUGCAAUCUAACAAUCUCUCUAAAGAACAGAUCAGCUACAUGAGAUGCAUCAUCAGAUUUAUGACAUGGAAUAAAAUGUGCCAUCUUAGAAAAUCGAUCAACAACCACAAAGAUGGAAUCUCGACCACGCUUAGUCCUAGGCAAACCUAACACAAAAUCCAUAGAAAUAUCAAUCCAAGGUGCUGUAGGAAUAGGCAAUGGUGUAUACAAUCCAUGGGAACUCACCCUAGACUUAGCUUGUUUACACGUAACACAUCGACCACAAAUUCUCUCAACAUCACGUUUCAUAUGAGGCCAAAAGAAAUGCUCAUGCAGAACACAAAAGGAUCAACAAUCCAAAAUGUCAAAGCAAAACCCCACCAAAAGACCCAAGCAAUAACAACUCACGUAAAGAACAAUCAGGAACACAUAAUCAGUAUGCCUAAAAAGAAACGAAUCAUAACAAAAAUAAUCACCACGAAUAACCUCACACCCUAGAUAAAUUCACCAAAUCAAUUUUGUAACACCCCAUACUUUUAUGAGUAGUAGUAGUGUCGAGACACUACAGAGAGUACUACGGUACUAAAAUAUGAGAUUAUAAUUAAGAUGAGAUGGAGUUAUGAUGAUGAAUAGAGAUAUUGAGCAUUAGAGUUACACUUUUUGAUGAGACGAGUUAUUAUGUUAGAUGGAAGUAUGAGUCUGAUAGUAUUUUGAUGUUUGAGAGUGUUUGAUGAACUUUGGGAAUGAAAAAGUUGAUGAAUUUUCAAGUUUGCUCUUGUCUGCCCUCAUUUCUCUGCUAUGCCAGAGAAUUCAGCAUCCCGCUGGCGAGCAUUCCGCUGGCGAGCAUCCCACUGGCGAGCAUUCCGCUGGCGAGCAUUCCUCUGGCGAGCAUUCCUCUGGCCACUGAUUUCUCUGCUCUGGCAGCGGAGAGCUGAUUUCUCUGCUCUGGCAGCGGAGAGUUGAUUUCUCUGCUCUGGCAGCGGAGAGUUGAUUCCUCUGCUCUGGCAGCGGAGAGUUGAUUCCUCUGCUCUGGCAGCGGAGAGUUCAUUCCUCUGCUCUGACAGUGGAGAAUUCAUUCCUCUGACAGAGAAGUCGAGCAUUCCUCUGCCUUGUCAGAGAAUUCUUUUCUUCUCUGCUCUGCUCCGCUCUGGAGGCAGAGCUGAGAUCGAGUAUCUGUGAGUUUAGUUGUCCUAUUGUUAAUAGGAACAUCUUAUUAAGAAUAGAGUUGAGAUAAGUGAGUGAGAAACCCUAUAGAAGGGAGAGUCGAUCUGAGAGAUGAUCUAAUUGAGAGAUGAUUGCUGAUUGCUUUGAUGUGAAUUGUAUCCGUGUUUUAUCUGAGAUGGUUUAAGUGAUUGUCUACGUGACUAUUUUGUUACGUGUGUUUGUAUGGUGAUGUGAGUAUGAUUUGUUUCGUGUUAUGUUAACACGGAUUAUUUUCGAGAUUUUGGAGAACGAGAUUAUUUUUAAAAUCGGGAAAUAGCAUACAGCUAUUAUUAUUUUGCAUAUCAGUAUUUUAUGAGAAAUAUUUUACUGAGACAUGAGAUGUGAUAUUUUUCGAGUACACUAUUUUUGGUGUUACUAUUAUUUAUUUGAUUUUAUCACAUGAGUAAAUAAAGUGUAGUUUUAUUUUAUCAAGAGAGAGAUACAUAAUUACAGUAAUUCCACUACUACUACACUUGAGAUAUUUUGCUUUUACCACAUGCUCAUUAUCUUUAAUAGCAAGUGGAUUAAGAGGUUGGAGUUAAGGGGGACAUGCAUUAAUUAGCAUUUAUUAUAAAGUGAAAAUGUUGGGAUAACACUUUGAUUCAAGUGGGAUUAAAUUCUUGAGCAAGUCAUUAUCCUAACUCUACAAAAAACUCACGCACACCCUCCCUUCUCCUCCCCAUUCUCGGCCUCCCCUCUCUCUCUCUAUACUCUCUUUUCCUCCAUUGAUGUCCAUUGAAGAAAGCUUAGAGAAGCUUCAUCAAACACUACUAUGAGAUAAUCCACCAUCCAAUCCAAUCAAAUACUAUCAUAUCUCAUCAAAUUCAAGAAGCUAGAGCUAAGAUCAAAGUUGGAGCAAAGUCUUGAUCACCUUUUAAAUCCUUGAGUAAGUGAUCUUAGAUUAUUUAUUUGACCAUAUUAAUGAUAUGUGAAUGAGUAUAUGAUCAUGAUUGAGCUAGAAAAUCACCAAACUUAUUUUUAUGAAAUUUUCGAAAAUUAGGAGCUUGAAACCCUACGAAUUUUGUUGUUUAUUUUCUUGAAUUGGCUUGAGUUAUAUGAUGAUGGAUUUGAGUUUAUGAGAUGAUCUAGAUGAUUAAUGAUGGAUGAGAUUGAAGCUUGAGGUUGAGAAGUGAAAAAUGAAAAAUGUUAGUUUGAGGAAGAAGAUGACAUAUAUGUGUUUCUAUAUGUGAUUUUGUUAUAUGAUGUUGAUUUAAAGAUUUGAGUGGUUAUAUGAGUUCUUGAGCAUGCUAUGAUGUUAAGUGAUGGUGUAGAUUGAUGAUUAGAAGUGAUGAAAUGAGUUUUGGGAUGAGUUUGUUGUUGAGAGUUAUGAUGUUAUAUUCAAGUUAGAGAUAUUAUUAAGAUAUAUGAGUUUUAAAUACAAUUGGAGAAUUUCGUAGGCCUACUGACCUACUGUGAUCGACGG
rnacentral:lncRNA from 1 species